CCCCAGGCCCCGAGCUGCACCUUGCGAGCUCUGUGUUGUCCCCGCCUAGCGCACAAUGGACUCUCUGCUCCUCCCCCUGCUCCUCCUGGCUCUGGCCCCGGGUGUCCGGUCCCAGCUCCGGCUCCAGGAGUCAGGCCCGGGGGUGCUGAAGCCCGGAGGGACCCUCACACUCACCUGCGCUGUCACCGGGGACACCGUCAUCAGGUGGGGCACCGUCACCAGCAGCCAUUACUGGAACUGGAUACACCAGGCCCCGGGCCAAGGGCUGGAGUGGAUGGGAUACUGGUCUGGGAGCACAAGCUACGCCCCGUCUCUCCAAGGCCGAAUCACCAUCUCCGUGAAUUCCUCCAACACCAAAUAUUAUCUGCGGCUGAGCUCGCUGACAGCUGCAAACACCGGCACCUAUUACUGCGCUAGAGACACAGUGCAGCUGGUCCAGACCGACCCUGGGAUGGUGAAGCCCGGAGAGAUCCUCAGUAUCACCUGUAAAAUCUCUGGAAUCUCCAUCAGCAGCUACUAUUGGAGCUGGGCCCAUCUGCCCAGGGAGGGCUCCAGGCACCAGCGCUCCAAGCAUGUGCCUGGGGCACAGCUACUGGAUCAUACUGGAGCCCAGGAAGGACUGGAGUGGCUGGCUGCUUUUUAUGAUGAGGCAAACAGCACGCGCUACACUUCCUCCGUCCAGGGCCGAUUCACAGCCUCCAAGGACAGCACCAACUUCUACCUGGUCACCUGA